rnacentral:rRNA from 1 species
GAUGAACGCUGGCGGCGUGCUUAACACAUGCAAGUCGAACGAAGCAAUGAAGCGGAAGUUUUCGGAUGGAAACUUCAUUGACUUAGUGGCGGACGGGUGAGUAACGCGUGGGUAACCUGCCUCAUACAGGGGGAUAACAGUUGGAAACGGCUGCUAACACCGCAUAAGCCUACAGCUUCGCAUGAAGCAGUAGGAAAAUAUUUAUAGGUAUGAGAUGGACCCGCGUCUGAUUAGCUAGUUGGUAAGGUAACGGCUUACCAAGGCGACGAUCAGUAGCCGGCUUGAGAGAGUGAUCGGCCACAUUGGGACUGAGACACGGCCCAAACUCCUACGGGAGGCAGCAGUGGGGAAUAUUGCACAAUGGGGGAAACCCUGAUGCAGCGACGCCGCGUGAGUGAAGAAGUAUUUCGGUAUGUAAAGCUCUAUCAGCAAGGAAGAUAAUGACGGUACUUGACUAAGAAGCCCCGGCUAACUACGUGCCAGCAGCCGCGGUAACAC